rnacentral:rRNA from 1 species
AACGCACCUUGCGCCCUUUGGCUAUUCCGAAGGGCAUGCCUGUUUGAGUAUCAUGAACACCUCAACUCUCAUGGUUCGCCGUGAUGAGCUUGGACUCUGGAGGUUUUGCUGGCUCUCUGUCGGCUCCUCUCAAACGAAUCAGCUUCCGGUGUUUGGUGGCGUCACAGGUGUGAUAACUAUCUACGCUUGUGGAGGUCUACUGAGUAACCUUUGGCAACGAAGGUUCACUGGAGCUUAUAACCGUCUCUCCUCAGGGAAGACAGCUUUUUUAAUGUUUGAUCUCAAAUCAGGUAGGACUACCCGCUGAACUUAA